AUGAACGCUGGUGGCGUGCCUAAUACCUGCAAGUCGAGCGAACGGACGAGAAGCUUGCUUCUCUGAUGUUAGCGGCGGACGGGUGAGUAACACGUGGAUAACCUACCUAUAAGACUGGGAUAACUUCGGGAAACCGGAGCUAAUACCGGAUAAUAUUUUGAACCGCAUGGUUCAAAAGUGAAAGACGGUCUUGCUGUCACUUAUAGAUGGAUCCGCGCUGCAUUAGCUAGUUGGUAAGGUAACGGCUUACCAAGGCAACGAUGCAUAGCCGACCUGAGAGGGUGAUCGGCCACACUGGAACUGAGACACGGUCCAGACUCCUACGGGAGGCAGCAGUAGGGAAUCUUCCGCAAUGGGCGAAAGCCUGACGGAGCAACGCCGCGUGAGUGAUGAAGGUCUUCGGAUCGUAAAACUCUGUUAUUAGGGAAGAACAUAUGUGUAAGUAACUGUGCACAUCUUGACGGUACCUAAUCAGAAAGCCACGGCUAACUACGUG
rnacentral:rRNA from 1 species